rnacentral:rRNA from 1 species
AGGACGAACGCUGGCGGCGUGCUUAACACAUGCAAGUCGAGCGGAAAGGCCCUUCGGGGUACUCGAGCGGCGAACGGGUGAGUAACACGUGAGCAACCUGCCCUUAGCUUCGGGAUAGCUCCGGGAAACCGGAAUUAAUACCGAAUAUGACUUUGGCUGACAUCAGCAGAAGUGGAAAGUUUUUCGGCUAGGGAUGGACUCGCGGCCUAUCAGCUAGUUGGUGAGGUAACGGCCCACCAAGGCGACGACGGGUAGCCGGCCUGAGAGGGCGACCGGCCACACUGGGACUGAGACACGGCCCAGACUCCUACGGGAGGCAGCAGUGGGGAAUAUUGCGCAAUGGGGCGAAAGCCUGACGCAGCGACGCCGCGUGGGGGAUGAAUGCCUUCGGGUUGUAACCCCUUUCAGCAGGGACGAAGCGAAAGUGACGGUACCUGCAGAAGAAGCGCCGGCUACUACGCGCCAGCAGCCGC